rnacentral:rRNA from 1 species
AGCAGUCGCCGCGGUAAUACAGAGGGUGCGAGCGUUAAUCGGAUUUACUGGGCGUAAAGCGUGCGUAGGCGGCUUCUUAAGUCGGAUGUGAAAUCCCUGAGCUUAACUUAGGAAUUGCAUUCGAUACUGGGAAGCUAGAGUAUGGGAGAGGAUGGUAGAAUUCCAGUUGUAGCGGUGAAAUGCGUAGAGAUCUGGAGGAAUACCGAUGGCGAAGGCAGCCAUCUGGCCUAAUACUGACGCUGAGGUACGAAAGCAUGGGGAGCAAACAGGAUUAGAUACCCCCGUAGUCCCUGUCUCUUAUAC